rnacentral:rRNA from 1 species
UACGUAGGGUGCGAGCGUUAAUCGGAAUUACUGGGCGUAAAGCGUGCGCAGGCGGUUGUGCAAGACAGAUGUGAAAUCCCCGGGCUCAACCUGGGAACUGCAUUUGUGACUGCACAGCUUGAGUGCGGCAGAGGGGGAUGGAAUUCCGCGUGUAGCAGUGAAAUGCGUAGAUAUGCGGAGGAACACCGAUGGCGAAGGCAAUCCCCUGGGCCUGCACUGACGCUCAUGCACGAAAGCGUGGGGAGCAAACAGG